CAUUUGCCCUAAGACCUGUCUAUAUCUUUAGACUCUCUCUCCCCCCCUGACUCUCAGUCUGAAGAAGGUUCUCGACCCGAAACGUCGCCUACUUCCUUCGCUCCAUAGAUGCUGCUGCACCCGCUGAGUUUCCCCAGCAAUU